rnacentral:rRNA from 1 species
UGCAGUAGGGAAUCUUCCACAAUGGGCGCAAGCCUGAUGGAGCAACGCCGCGUGUGUGAUGAAGGCUUUCGGGUCGUAAAGCACUGUUGUAUGGGAAGAAAUGCUAAAAUAGGGAAUGAUUUUAGUUUGACGGUACCAUACCAGAAAGGGACGGCUAAAUUCGAGCCAGCAGCCGCGGUAAUACG